CAGGUGCUAAUACCGUAUAACACUAUUUUCCGCAUGGAAGAAAGUUGAAAGGCGCUUUUGCGUCACUGAUGGAUGGACCCGCGGUGCAUUAGCUAGUUGGUGAGGUAACGGCUCACCAAGGCAACGAUGCAUAGCCGACCUGAGAGGGUGAUCGGCCACACUGGGACUGAGACACGGCCCAGACUCCUACGGGAGGCAGCAGUAGGGAAUCUUCGGCAAUGGACGAAAGUCUGACCGAGCAACGCCGCGUGAGUGAAGAAGGUUUUCGGAUCGUAAAACUCUGUUGUUAGAGAAGAACAAGGAUGAGAGUAAAACGUUCAUCCCUUGACGGUAUCUAACCAGAAAGCCACGGCUAACUACGUGCCAGCAGCCGCGGUAAUACGUAGGUGGCAAGCGUUGUCCGGAUUUAUUGGGCGUAAAGCGAGCGCAGGCGGUUUCUUAAGUCUGAUGUGAAAGCCCCCGGCUCAACCGGGGAGGGUCAUUGGAAACUGGGAGACUUGAGUGCAGAAGAGGAGAGUGGAAUUCCAUGUGUAGCGGUGAAAUGCGUAGAUAUAUGGAGGAACACCAGUGGCGAAGGCGGCUCUCUGGUCUGUAACUGACGCUGAGGCUCGAAAGCGUGGGGAGCGAACAGGAUUAGAUACCCUGGUAGUCCACGCCGUAAACGAUGAGUGCUAAGUGUUGGAGGGUUUCCGCCCUUCAGUGCUGCAGCAAACGCAUUAAGCACUCCGCCUGGGGAGUACGACCGCAAGGUUGAAACUCAAAGGAAUUGACGGGGGCCCGCACAAGCGGUGGAGCAUGUGGUUUAAUUCGAAGCAACGCGAAGAACCUUACCAGGUCUUGACAUCCUUUGACCACUCUAGAGAUAGAGCUUCCCCUUCGGGGGCAAAGUGACAGGUGGUGCAUGGUUGUCGUCAGCUCGUGUCGUGAGAUGUUGGGUUAAGUCCCGCAACGAGCGCAACCCUUAUUGUUAGUUGCCAUCAUUUAGUUGGGCACUCU
rnacentral:rRNA from 1 species